rnacentral:pre_miRNA from 1 species
GUAAUACUCUCUCCGUUCCGAAUUACUUGUCUUAGAUUUGUCUAGAUACGAAGGUAUCUAGCACUAAAAUGAGUCUAGAUACAUCCGUAUUUAGACAAAUCCAAGACAAGUAAUUCGGAACGGAGGGAGUAACAA